rnacentral:lncRNA from 1 species
AGUGGGGCAGCAAGCGCGGCGUCCUCCUGCCAGCGUUAGUCUCUCACGGCGCUGUGCAGCCUAUGGUUUCCAGUGAGUUCUCCAGUCGGGACCCUAAACGACGUUGAGUUCGCACAGGUGUGGGAGCCGAGGACGACCUCAGGUUUAGCAGGAGCGUGUUCUAGAAACCCAGACAGACCGGUGUUAAAAUCCUGAUGUGUUCGCCCCUUGUCCUAACUAACCUUUUUAAGGGUACAUCUAUCUGGUUUGCCUGUAUUGUGUCUGCUCCCUGUGUGUCUCAUGCAUACUGAGGUUCACGUGUAACUGGAGAUGCAGACAGUUGUGAAAUGCCAUGUGAGUGCUGGGAACCAAACCUGGGUCCUCUGCAAGAACCCCCAGUGUUCUUAACAACUGAGCCCCUGUCCAAACAUUGAAUCCUCAACAAAAGCAAUUUUGCAUGAGACAGACCCAGACCCAGUUGGGUAGACUAAUUCUAGACGAAUUCUACGUGUCUAAGGCAUUGGUUUUUCAUUAUGUGCUUUCGGGGCAAAGAACUCACUACAGGAAGAAUGAAAGUUAAAUUUUACUAAGACCAAUCAGAAGCCCGUCCCAACACGGGCUUUAAGCACUAGUUGACCUAACAACUUUGAUAAAACAAUUUUGAAACAGUGACUAAGUACUGCUCUUGGACUGCCCUCUGCUUCCUCACUCACUGAACUUAGUAACUUGGGAUUCAAGGACCUUUUAGUGGGAUUCCUAGGGAGCUGGAUAGCUGCAGGAAUAAUCUUCUUUGUGUCAACGGGCAUUUUAGGUAAAUUUGAUUUCUCU